UUUGAGUUAUAGGAUGGAACCAACAGAAGUGACAUUUCACAGAUGGAUACCAAAGCUGUUAAAGUUUCAACUCUUACUGGCAGUGAAAUUACAGUUUUCACAGGGGCCUUGACUCCAGCUUCUCUCUUUAUCCAUCUUUAAAAGACGGAAGCUUCUGUAUCGAAAAUUUGAAGGACAAGGGAGAAAGGAAGGAGAAGAGAGAAAAGGAGAACAAGGAGAUCAAAAUGUCUGCAUCAUAUGGGGAAGAACCUCUGGGGCAGCCCACCUCAGUCCCUUGUCCUUUGUUUCUGGGUCUGAAACCAAACAGGUAGGAUAUUCACUUUCAAUUUUAGUAUAAAAGUUAGACAAACGUUUGAAUAGAUUCAAGAUGGUGGAUUGAAUUUUUUUUUAUUGUGUGUGUGUGUCCAUGUGUGUAGAGGUCAGAGG
rnacentral:lncRNA from 1 species